rnacentral:rRNA from 1 species
AAUCGCUAGUAAUCGCGGAUCAGAAUGCCGCGGUGAAUACGUUCCCGGGUCUUGUACACACCGCCCGUCACACCAUGGGAGUCGGGAAUGCCCGAAGUCAGUGGCCCAACCGGGAAGGGGGGAGCUGCCGAAGGCAGGCCCGGUGACGUGGGGUGAAGUCGUAACAAGGUAAC